GGUCUAAUAGUGUAGCGGUUAUCACAGUGGAUUCUGAUCGCACACUCUCCAAAGAUAUAUGACUUCCACUAACCCAGGUUCGAUUCCUGGUUAGACCU